rnacentral:rRNA from 1 species
UACGUAGGGGGCUAGCGUUGUCCGGAAUCAUUGGGCGUAAAGAGCGUGUAGGCGGUCCGGUAAGUCCGCUGUGAAAGUCGGGGGCUCAACCCUCGAAUGCCGGUGGAUACUGUCGGGCUAGAGUGCGGAAGAGGCGAGUGGAAUUCCUGGUGUAGCGGUGGAAUGCGCAGAUAUCAGGAGGAACACCAAUGGCGAAGGCGGGUCUCUGGGCCGAUACUGACGCUGGAGGAGCGAAAGCCGUGGGGAGCGAACAGG